GCUUUGUUUACAAAUUGCAAGUCAGAUUUCUCCAGCAAGGCAGGGAUUCCUUACUCACUCAGUGCCAGGAUCACGCUGCUGUGGACUGUGCCAAUGAUAAUCACGAAAGUCUGAGCUAGCUGUCUACUGAGAAUUUGUCAGUGCGUCCAACUGGCCUCACAACCGCAGACCACAUGUAACCAUGCGAGCCCACAACCUCCACAUCCGGCUUCUUCACCUCCGGGAUCGUCUGAGACCAGCUAUCUGGACAGCUGAUGAAGCUGAGUAUUUCUGUCUGUAAUAAAGCCCCUUUGUGGGGAAAAACUCUGAUUGGCUGGGCCUGGCUUCCUAGUGGGAGGGCAUUGGCCGACUCGCUUGGGAGCCAGGCCCACCAUGGCUGUGCCCCUGCCCAGUCAUGUGAAAUACAUAGAUUAGUGCCUAAUUUGUUUAUUUCAAUUGACUGAUUUCCUUAUAUGAACUGUAACACAGUAACAUCAUUGAAAUUGUUGCAUGUUGCGUUUAUAUUUUUGUUCAGUGUAAAUUAGAAUUAGAUUGUAAAACUUGAAUAAAAAUAUAUAAAAAUACAAAAUGUACAUCAAUGUAAGUACAAAGAUUUUACCAUAUCCCAACCACCCUCCCUCCAUACAACACAUCCACCCAACCCCCCUAGUACCUUCCCUACCUCUCCGCCCCACCUCAGUCAGUCCACCCACCUCGGUUCCCAACCACCCACCCACCCCCAACCCCCUUCCAAC
rnacentral:lncRNA from 1 species